CGGUAAUUCCAGCUCCAAUAGCGUAUAUUAAAGUUGUUGCCGUUAAAAAGCUCGUAGUCGAACUUCGGCCUUUGCCGCCCGGUCCGCCCUAUGGGUGUGUACUGGAGCGGUGGAGGCUUACCUCGUGGUGAACGGCCAUGCUCUUUACUGGGUGUGGUCGGGAACCAUGAUUUUUACUUUGAAAAAAUUAGAGUGUUCAAAGCAGGCUUACGCCCGAAUACAUUAGCAUGGAAUAAUAAAAUAGGACGUGCGGUUCUAUUUUGUUGGUUUCUAGAAUCGCCGUAAUGAUUAAUAGGGAUAGUUGGGGGCAUUCGUAUUCAAUUGCUAGAGGUGAAAUUCUUGGAUUUAUUGAAGACGAACUACUGCGAAAGCAUUUGCCAAGGAUGUUUUCAUUGAUCAAGAACGAAGGUUAGGGGAUCGAAAACGAUCAGAUACCGUUGUAGUCUUAACAGUAAACGAUGCCGACUAGGGAUCGGACGAGGAUUUUUAAUGACUCGUUCGGCACCUGAAGAGAAAUCUUUAAGUCUAGGUUCGGGGGGGAGUAUGGUCGCAAGGCUGAAACUUAAAGGAAUUGACGGAAGGGCACCACCAGGUGUGGAGCCUGCGGCUUAAUUUGACUCAACACGGGGAAACUCACCAGGUCCAGACACGACAAGGAUUGACAGAUUGAUAGCUCUUUCUUGAUUUCGUGGUUGGUGGUGCAUGGCCGUUCUUAGUUGGUGGAGUGAUUUGUCUGGUUAAUUCCGAUAGCGAACGAGACCUUAACCUGCUAAAUAGCCCGGCCGACUUUGGUUGGUCGCUGGCUUCUUAGAGGGACUAUCAGCGUUUAGCUGAUGGAAGUUUGAGGCAAUAACAGGUCUGUGAUGCCCUUAGAUGUUCUGGGCCGCACGCGCGCUACACUGACCGAACCAGCGAGUUUAUCACCUUGGCCGGAAGGCCUGGGCAAUCUUGUGAAACUCGGUCGUGAUGGGGAUAGAGCAUUGCAAUUAUUGCUCUUCAACGAGGAAUACCUAGUAAGCGUGAGUCAUCAGCUCGCGUUGAAUUCGUCCCUGCCCUUUGUACACACCGCCCGUCGCUACUACCGAUUGAAUGGCUUAGUGAGGUCUCCGGAUUGGCUUCUGGGAGCCGGCAACGGCACCUAGUCGCUGAGGAGUUGAACGAACUUGGUCAUUUAGAGGAAGUAAAAGUCGUAACAAGGUAGCCG
rnacentral:rRNA from 1 species